rnacentral:rRNA from 1 species
UGGGGAAUUGUUCGCAAUGGGCGCAAGCCUGACGACGCAACGCCGCGUGGAGGAUGAAGAUCUUCGGGUCGUAAACUCCUGUCGAAUGGGACGAACGGACUGUGGGUGAACAAUCCGCAGUCGUGACGGUACCUCCAGAAGAAGCCCCGGCUAACUACGUGCCAGCAGCCGCGGUAAUACGUAGGGGGCUAGCGUUGUCCGGAUUUAUUGGGCGUAAAGAGCGUGUAGGCGGCCAGGUAGGUCUGCUGUGAAAACUCGAGGCUCAACCUCGAGACGUCGGCGGAAACCAUCUGGCUAGAGUCCGGAAGAGGAGAGUGGAAUUCCUGGUGUAGCGGUGAAAUGCGCAGAUAUCAGGAAGAACACCCGUGGCGAAGGCGGCUCUCUGGGACGGUACUGACGCUGAGACGCGAAAGCGUGGGGAGCGAAC